rnacentral:tRNA from 1 species
CGUAGCGUCGCCGAGCGGUCUAAGGCGUUGUUUUAACGCAUCAGUCUCUUAGGAGGCGGGGGUUCAAAUCCCAACGUUGCAA